AGGACGAACGCUGGCGGCGUGCUUAACACAUGCAAGUCGAGCGGAAAGGCCCUUCGGGGUACUCGAGCGGCGAACGGGUGAGUAACACGUGAGUAAUCUGCCCCUAGCUCUGGGAUAGCUCCGGGAAACCGGGAUUAAUACCGGAUACGACCACCUUAGACAUCUUUUGUGGUGGAAAGAAUUUCGGCUAGGGAUGAGCUCGCGGCCUAUCAGCUUGUUGGUGGGGUAACGGCCUACCAAGGCGACGACGGGUAGCCGGCCUGAGAGGGCGACCGGCCACACUGGGACUGAGACACGGCCCAGACUCCUACGGGAGGCAGCAGUGGGGAUAUUGCGCAAUGGGCGAAAGCCUGACGCAGCGACGCCGCGUGGGGGAUGAAGGCCUUCGGGUUGUAACCCCUUUCAGCAGGGACGAAGCGAAAGUGACGGUACCUGCAGAAGAAGCGCCGGCUAACUACGCGCCAGCAGCCGC
rnacentral:rRNA from 1 species